rnacentral:rRNA from 1 species
GAGAGAGACAUGCGCGCAUAUCAAUAAGCGGAGGAAAAGAAACUAACAAGGAUUCCCCUAGUAACGGCGAGUGAAGCGGGAAGAGCUCAAAUUUGAAAUCUUAAAGGGUUUCCCUUUACGAAUUGUAGUUUAAAGAAGUGUUUUCUGUUGAGGUUUUGGUAAGAGUUCUUUGGAAUAGGACAUCAUAGAGGGUGAGAAUCCCGUAUUUGACCUUUACUUUCAACUUUGUGAUACACUUUCAAAGAGUCGGAUUGUUUGGGAAUGCAGUCCAAAAUGGGUGGUAAAUUUCAUCUAAAGCUAAAUAUUGGCGAGAGACCAAUAGCGAACAAGUACCGUGAGGGAAAGAUGAAAAGAACUUUGAAAAGAGAGUUAAACAGUACGUGAAAUUGUCAAAAGGGAAGCGUUUGACACCAGUGUUGUUUUUCUGAAAAUCAAUUAAAGAACUGUUUAUGCUAAGCUGUUUAGACUUUAUCAGCUAUCUGUUUAGUUUUGAGCUUUUCUUUAAUGCACUUUUCAGUUAACAAGUCAACAUCAAUUUCUUUUGCUGUAAAAAAGCUUGAGGAAGGUGGCUUGAGAUUCGUCUUAAGUGUUUAUAGCCUCUUGCCUAUGCAGUCGGAGAGAUUGAGGUCUGCAGCGUAGAUCCUUCGGGGCUAAAUGCAUUUGUGCUAAGUUAUAACAUUUUAUAGACAACUUGUUGACUAUGAUUUGUCUUGUAGCUUACUCGCUUAUGUUAUUUUACCUACGCUUAGGAUGUUGACGCAUGAGAUAUACGC